CCUACGGGGAGCAGCAGUGGGGAAUAUUGCACAAUGGGGGAAACCCUGAUGCAGCGACGCCGCGUGAAGGAUGAAGUAUUUCGGUAUGUAAACUUCUAUCAGCAGGGAAGAAAAUGACGGUACCUGACUAAGAAGCCCCGGCUAACUACGUGCCAGCAGCCGCGGUAAUACGUAGGGGGCAAGCGUUAUCCGGAUUUACUGGGUGUAAAGGGAGCGUAGACGGUAUGGCAAGUCUGAAGUGAAAGCCCGGGGCUCAACCCCGGGACUGCUUUGGAAACUGCCUGACUGGAGUGCUGGAGAGGCAAGCGGAAUUCCUAGUGUAGCGGUGAAAUGCGUAGAUAUUAGGAAGAACACCAGUGGCGAAGGCGGCUUGCUGGACAGUAACUGACGUUGAGGCUCGAAAGCGUGGGGAGCAAACAGGAUUAGAUACCCGAGUAGUC
rnacentral:rRNA from 1 species